GGGAUGGGGAGCCCCUUGGUGCUCCAAGGAAAAGACAUGGGAAGGAGGGAGAGCUUGAGGGCUUUAACCUGCGCUAAGAGCCUGGAGAGAUGGCAGAGACACCGGCUGCAUUUGUCAUCUGGGGAGAGGAUGAGUCCUUCAGUGGGAGAAGUGAUUGUUUUUAACCUGAAUGCAGACAGCUGGCCAGAAGACACGUGCAGGAUGACUGGAGGCGGUGGGACAGAGUCAGUGCAGGAGACAGCACCGUCAACCAGAGCAGCAGUAGCUUUUUCUCAGGUGAAAAGUGAAAGGAUGUGAGGAAAUGGCCUCACAUUGCAUCAGUGAAGGCUUAGAUUAGAUGUCAGGAGGAAUUUCUUCAUGGAAAGUGUGGUUACACAUUGGUACUGGCUACCCAGGGAAGUAGUGGAGUUUUCAUCCCUGGAGGUAUUUAAGAGAUAUUGGGAUGUGGUGCUUAGGGACAUGGUUUAGUGGUGGACGCAGUAGUGUUAGGUGGUGGUUGGACUUGGUGAUCUUACAUGUCUUUUCCAACUGAAGUGAUCCUGUGAUGUGAGCACCAGGUCACAGUCUGGACAUCCCAUGUUGCUUAGGCUGAGUUUUCAAAGUGCCUUUUAUCCUUCUAAGGAGGAUUAAAAGAAGAACAAACAACAGUGAAUGUUAUGAUAGCUCAAUACAAGUAGUUAUAUGCAUCUACUGCUACACGUAAGCAACAAUGGAAAAUGUGGCAGGCUAAUUAACAGCAAUCAGGUAAAACCACGAGGAGUAAGCAAAGCAGUAACACAGGUUUGUCUGCAUAUAAAUCAAUGAACUCCUACUGAAUAGGGAAAUCCAUGAACACUCAGUAACAUGAGGCAGUUCCAGACUGGUGUGUGGGAGACACUAAAAUACUGUUUACAGAUAUUCUUAUCUACGGCUCCUCCCUGAUAGUCUUGAAUGUGGCACAGCCUCAGGAGAGGGAAUAAGUACUAAAAUCAGAAAAAAAUACUAUCAAUGAGGGAGGUCUGGAAGCUACCUCUGCUGAGUCAUGGUGGAUUGGUGCUGUUGAAAGGAGGUGAGAAGCACUGUGUUACAACUUUGCUUUUGCUUUCCCCCAUUAAUUCUUUGUCCUCCCCCACCAAAAUAAGAGUAAACCAAAAUUCCUCUAAAGAUUACUACUGACUGAAUCACGUUCCUGUUCAGCAUGACAGAAUUCCAAAGCCUCUACCACCCUUUGUCACAAUGGAAGAGAUGCUGCAAUGGGCAAAAGCAUUUUGUCAAAGCCCUUUGCCAGCAAAGUGGUAAUCAUAGCACAGGCACUAUCUGGCAUUUGAAAACAGUAGAAGUCCAAAUCCAAGAUUUUAUCUAUCUAUCUAUCUAUCUAUUUAUUUUGCUGGGGGGAGGAGAGGGUGGAGAUGGAGUUCAGAUGCAAUUAUACCACUUCAUCUUGACAACUGUAAAAGAAAUUGGGAAAACAAAGUAGCUAGCUGACAGACACAACUGUGAUUGGUACAAAAACUGGAUGGAUAUUACAAGAGAAGCCCAGAGAGAAGGAGCCAGCAGUCUCCUGCCUCCCGUACCAGCAUAAGCAAGAUCAAAAAAUUGUGGUACCUAGCUCAGAUAGUUUUCAGAAAGCAGAGUUUCAAAUAUUUCUGAUGCCCGUUUGCUCUUCCUCAUGAUUGCCUAGAUAAAGAGAAUACGCUGAAUUCACCCAUAUUUUGGACUCCACUGUAGAGUUCAUUAUGGUAGUUAGGGCAGUGAAUCUCACAAGAGAGGUGUUCUGCCUGACAGUCCUAUUUUUAACAAUAAAAUAAAUUAAUACAUUAGCAUAUUCCUUUGCUGAAUGGGUUCCUAUACCUUCAACACAUCUGCAUCAAACAUCCUUUCCUUUUAUCUCCAACUCAGCUCAGUUGGAAAUCCCAAUGGGAAGAUGGUUGAAAGGAGGUUGUAGUAACAUGGGGGUCAGCCUUUCCUCCUAGGUAACAGCAAUAGGGAAUGGCUCAAGUUGCAGCAGGCGAGGUUUGGAUUGGAUAUUAAGAAAAAUUUCUUCACAGGAUGAGUGGUGCUGCAGUGGCACAGGCUGCCCAGGGAGGUGGUGGAGUCACCGUCCCUGGACGUGUUCCAGAGCCGUGUGGAUGUGGCACUGAGGGCAUGGCCAGUGGGCACGGUGGGGAUGGGCUGAUGGUUGGACUCGAUGAUCUUAAAUGUUUUUCCUAUGUUAAUGGUUUUAUGAUUCUACAAGGCAGUAAGUAUUCACCAAUCAGAAGGCAGGAGCUCUCCAGUCCUGGUAGCUUCAGAAAAAUAGGAGUGAGCAGAGAAACAGCUCUUGGUAACUUGCCAUUGCAAAGUGAUGACAUCCCUCCUUCCACUCCCCCUCCCCACCCCUGGGUAUUUUUUUUUUUCCUCCCUCUGCUCAACACAAUCAUGAAUAUUAUUUCUCACCUUAUCUUCAAAAUCACCAAUUCUUAUCUGUGCUAAGAGGAAGGGGAUAAAAGCCAUAUUCAGCCUCAGGAAUACUCUCCCACCCGUCUGCUGUUUCAGUAUGAGUUGAAAAAGGAAGGAUGGGACAGAAUGCAAGAGCUUCAGGGAGGUUUUACCAAGACACACAGGAAAUUCUGUACAGGGUCUGCAGUCAUUCAAGAUAACUGGUUGUACAAGUCUGAAUGGGAAUAUUGCAAGUAAUUCUGAGGAAUCAGGAAAGAUGGGAAAAGAAAGAGGCCAGAGGCCUGGCAAUACCACACGAAUGCAAACCGUCAGCUGCACCAAACCCUUUUCACUCCUGGAGUCAAAAACAAUGCCCCAUUCUCUUACCUUCCUUUGGUCACAAAGUGGGACAAAGUACCUGCAUUUACCUACGUUUUUCAUGCUGGGGUUGGACUAGCAAAGACAGCUUCUUCAGAAGCCCAUCCAUCAGCUGCCUUCGGUUAGAAAGGAGCCUGAAGCUGAGAAAGAUUCCUUCUAACUGUGAGAUACGAACUCCCAAAGCAGUGAGUAGAUGCAGUGUUUCUCCAUGAGCAAUGCGUGCAUCACCAUAAAAGCAUUGUGCUGGUUUACUUGGACUCUAAAACUGCAGAGCUCAGCAAUACUUCAGCUGGCAUUUCUGUGAAGAUCAGCUGAGGGCACGACAUGCAAUAGCGUACCGUACAGGAGUCGCACUUCAAGUCAGAGACUGGAACGUGUCAGUUUACUUCAAGAGCAGUCUAAUCUCAUCUCUUUACGUAGGAGUAUACACACUUGUGAGCACUGAAAAGGGUACUUCAAAAUGUUUUAUAUAUUAAACAGUAACAAAAUUAAAUGCAAUUCAUACGGAUAACAUUUCUAAAUCAGUUCAUUUUCUACUUAAAAAUUGACUCUUUUCUUUAAUAAAUAAGUUCCUUGAAGAAAAAAGACAAAAGUAGGAAUUAUCUUCAGUCUCAGCCAGGUCUUUAUCAUCCAAAAAUGUUUUUAACCUUCUAAUUUCAGCAAUGAUUGAAGGAAGAGGACAUAAAAUCUGCACCAAGUAUAAAUUUCAAGAAUGCUUCUAUUUGCCAUUUGCACGUUAAAUGAUGUUUUUUUGAAGAAGUAAUAGACACAAUAAAGAAGAUAACGCAAAUUGUUCUUUCUUGACACUGCAGAUCUCUAAAAGCUUCCUGAAAUGGCGUAACUGUAUUGUCAGUCCAGCUGCCUCCAGAUAAAAUGAAAUAAUGCUUUGUGGCACAAGCAGGUUAUGACAGUCUGAAUGGAAGAGCCUGAGCAGAACAAAACUCAAAAUGGAGCAAGGCUCCCCGACAGCAAAAUAACAAUGUGACCGACUUGAAAAGACAGAGGGAAUAAUGAAAUCAGAACAAGUGGUAGAGACUUACCAUCACGGUGUGCUCAGUUUGCUGCUCCGGAUAGUUACUUCUCUUGGAUUAAUUACUGAAGAAAGGAAAAUAGGUGUAUUUGUAGGUCACCCUAUUUGAGCUGGAAGGGUGGAAGAACGCAUGGUGCUGUGCAGGGCUGGUCAUAUGGGAGUUCUCACCCUUCUCCUCCAGGUGAGGAAUUAGGCUUCAUAGAGGCAUCUCUUGGUCAGUGGUUGGUGCUGGGAGUGGCUGCUGGGUCAGCUUCCUCCAAACCCUCUCCAGACUUUUUUCCAGAGCAAAUCCCAGUGAUGAACUCUGUAAGAGGUCAUCCCUCCUUUUACUACAUUGAAUGAUAUUCAUACCUUCCAGUAUACAAUCUGGAGCAAGCUUUCCAAAGGAAACCAAUCCAUUGUGCUGAAAAAAAUCACACAACGGAAUGAAAAUAUCUCCUUGUGCAGCCCGUUUGGUCCCUGUUAGAUGCAUUAGAUGGAUCAAUACCAGUUUACCAAGCUGGGUGGAAGAAGGUUGGAGCUACAUUAAAUUUGUUUCAUGCCUGCUUGAUUUCAAAUGUGAAGCAAGAACAAUAAAUGGACAUUGAGGAUUUCAAAGAGAACCUUUGCUGUUGGGGAAGUUAAAGUGAUCAAAUUUGAAAGAACAUAGACAAUGACAAGAUAUCUUUUCUGAGACACCAAAUCCUGAGCUUGGAAUGACGCAAUGGCAGCAACAACGCAUGGGAAAACUCAGUUCUCUCCCUUGUGCUUACACUUCAAGACUGGAGCUUUUUCCUCUGCACUGACGUGAGCAGAGUGAGAUCUGCACAGCCAGGUCAUUCAGGGAACAAACGGAGACUUGAAUGAGGUCUGGACUGUGCUCAUGUCCCACACAAUUGCUCGUUUUACCAGAGCAAACAAAGGAUGGCAAAAAGAGGGGAAGGCCCCAAUAAAGAAUGGAUUCAGGCCCAGAGGAGCCACUGUGCAGUCCUUCCUGCAACUUCGCAUUUAAUUUUUAAACACAUAAAGAUUAUGUCAAGUACUAGGGAAAAGAAUUAAAGAGAUUGCGAUACUUACAGGAAGACUUGAUUUUCUUUUGUGUAUGUGUGCAAGAUCUUUCCUACCAGAGAAGAGUCAUGCGACAUAUAUGUCUCUCCAUUGCUAGUUUUCUGCCUUUCCUCUCUGGUUCUUCAUCCUUCCAGAUUUGCCUUUGCUAAUUCUCAUCAGAGAAAUAUUACUGACAGAGGAGACAAAAUUCAGAGCUGCAGAUGUUUUUAUAGCACAGUCACAGUUUCCCUGUCAAAGCAACAGUGAACUCAGAGCAGGUAUCUGUGCUCUUCGUGAACCAGAUUAAACUGCUCCUUGUCCUCUCUAUAAAGCCUGCAGUGGAAGCCAAAGUAAGUUGUAUGGAUCUGUAAUGAAAAGGACUCUUCACACCUGGAGCAAAGAGCUGAAUGAAACAAUUCCCCAUCCCAGCAUUCUCCUCCCCAGUCUCCAGAUGAAGGUCUGAUGCCUUACUGGGAAUCCACUGCUGUCACACAUAAGCUACCAGGCCUGGCAAUAAAUAAAGCAGGUAAAGUGCAAUGGUUUUAAUAGGAAAGCAUUCAAACUAUCUGAUCAAAGGGUGCCUCCUACUCUUUCGUUCUGUGACUCUGUUGGCUGAAUGCAGGCUGUAUUAUAGAAGAUGUUCAUGUCAGUUCUGUUAGCUUGUAUGUCAACAAAAAUUGGUACAUUAAGACAUGGGGUUUGGUGAUUAUGUCUUUUUGUCUUAAACAAGCCUAGAGAAGCAGAUUAUCAGUUUUGUAUACAUUACUAACAUCACUACAAUUUCAGAGAGAGCUGCACACGGAAGGAAAAUAGCAGCUCAUGGCUAAUUGCUGAGAUUAAUAUGCACUUAUCAGUAUAUUAAGAAUCUGGGUUUGCACUACAAUUCUCUUUUUCAUUAAUUGCUACACUUGUCCUGUUUUGUUUCUCUAGGAAAGUAAGAUAAAACGAUACAUUUCCGUUCUGGUUUUUGAGAGCAAUAAUGACAUCUUUCAGCAGCACAUUCUCACCUUUCUUUGGAAAGGCACUCACCUGCUGCGAAUCACGGACUGCUGUCUCCUCAAAAACCUCACAGAGCAGGGAAACUACAUUAUACCACAGGAAGAAAAAUGAAGAUGGAGGCAAUGUUAGGGGUACACGGCAGUGAUUUACAGUAAAAUAUACUGCAGAGAUAAUGUAAUUAUUCAAAGCCCAGAAACUAUAACCCUUGGACAUUCUAAGUUAAAAUCAAAUUUAACGAGAAAACCAAAUGAAGCACAAAGAAAUGCAAAGCCGAAACAUCCAAAAAAUCUCAAUUAUGCUUGGUUAAAAGCUCUUCAAAAUCUCUAACCAGCUAAAAGGCACAACAUUUGUGUGCAUAAUAUGCGUGUGUUUAUGUAUAAACUAAUACACGCAUGCUUCUGAAGAUGAAUCAUACAUUUCCACUUCAUACUUUGUAACUGGAAAUUCAUUAGAAAUCUCUUUCUGUUUCGCAGAAAAGGGCAAAAGAAAAAAAUAUACUGCAGGCCUUUAGAAAUCUCUUAAUCGUAUCCAAGUCCACAAUUGUAGAACCAUCUCAAUAAGAAUGGUGUGUUUUUGCCUGGUUACAGUCACCACAGUAACACCCAUGUAGCUGCUAAAAAGCUCAUCUGGAAAAAAAAGUGCAGGGGAAAGCAUAAAUUAGAGAGCAAUAUAUGAACCAGAUAUCUGCAGUGCAUCAGAGGGAUCUCAGCAAGGCCUCAUGGAGUCUUAGAACAGUGCAAGGAGCACACUGGAGGCUACAUACAGCUCUUUUGGCUGCAGGCGGUAUCUCUAUGAGUCCAGAAGGAACAGCUACAGGUGCAAGGCCUCUGUGAUGGAGGCAGCUGCCUGGGGGUGCGAGGACUGGAGAUUCCUGAGCCAUCCAUAGGGAAUCUGCUCAUCUGGGAAGGAGAAGGUGUGAGAGCUGGGCUGAGGGAACGUGUGUGGUGUGUGAGGCGUCAACUGGACCCAGAUCCACAGUUCGGCCCUGUGAUGGGCACUGUCCCAGGUGCCAUAUCAAAUCUUGUCUAUUUUGUCUAAAUGUUAAGCAGUUGUUAGAUCAAAAUUGGAUCCUGAUGGCAUGGCAGGACAACAGCACAGGCAUAUCGAGGUGAAUGUUGAACCUCUCCUGGGCUACUGUACAGAAAUGAUCGGGCUGUCAUAAGGAGCUAAGGAAGGGUGUUCAUAGGCAGCAUCAGAAACACUGGUUUUUAUCAUGGAAAGAGAUCUGUACUGGCAAAGCUUAAAAACCCAUCCCUGCUGUACUAGCAAUAGCUGGACUUUCUCUGACUGACUACAGUACCUGUUCCAUGUCCACAACCCAGAUGUAAUGCUGUUAAUUACAGAGUUAUUGCUUGUAGCUCCCAUAGGCAAAACCUUUGUUAUGCUUUGCAUUCUGUGUGCAUAUUAGACUGGAAAAACACAGUAUACUUUCCCCAAACUAAAAGCAAUAAAUACCCCUAUCAUGUAAAGGAUUAACAUGUUAAGAAGCUACCUGACAUCUGCUAAGUAUUUCCUGGUAGGAGAGUCAGGCUGCUUAACUUGGAUCAGCGGCCAAUGCCAUCGUGCAUUCAUCUCUCAGAAGCUUUGCUCUGUCUCCUAACAAAAAGUCUCGCUCUCCUGCACACAUUAUUGUUCAUAUGGGUCAAAUGUACUGAUUAAAAAAAGAAACAACAAAAACCAACAGUACUUCAGUGAGGCUAUUUUCCUGAAAAUAACUGCAUUUUAGCCAGUUUGCUGUACUCCCAACUUCUAGUACCUGAUCAGUGAGCUACAGGCUCAGCGCUUCAGUUCUCUGCUGCCAUGAUAUUCCUACUUGGAUCAUGACAAGUUCCUUAAAGAAAACCAACUUGGGUUCUUCAUGGUCUCCGGAGGAGAAAACCAACACAGAGCUUCAGACACAGUCUGCUCUGGCCUAUAACAGCACGUUGGAGACCAGCAUUCCCAAGAAGCUCGCAAACCAAGACCGCACAUCAACCACACAGCACUACUUGGUUCCCCAGCAUUCAGGGAAUGGGAUAUUUUAAACCCUACAGAAACCAUUCCUCCUUGUCUACAACUGACUUUUGUUUUACUUUUUCUUUGCUCGAAGCUCUGAUCAUCAGACUUACCCAGGCAGGAAUUAAUUUUCCUUUGCCAUUGUUAAUGGAUAACUCAAUCAUGGUAGUUAAAAAAGCAUAAUGUGGUAUGAGUCAGCAAUGGAUAGUGACACAUGGAGAACCUGGAAAUUUUUCCUCGUUCCUUUCUGCCCAUCUUAAGUCAAGCCUGGGUGUGGUCAGCCAGAUAUUGGGUGGUGCUUUGGAGAAGCAAGCAGAUGGGCUGAGGCAUAGCUUGUCCCUGGAAGACGGGGCUUCUUUGCUCUGCUGCUAGAGGGGAAGGCUCAAAGCUGGCAGCCAGGUAAGACAGGCAGCAAGACAAACUGAGAAGGCAAAAGGAGCUGAAGGGAGAGCAUUGUUGAACUUACCCUGCUUCACUACCCAUUUGUUAUAAAUUCUGGUUUAAAAUGCAACUUAUUGUUUUUAUCUCUGAAAUACAGUUGAUUUUAUAAGUCAGACACGGUCCCAGAGCCAGUGCUGCCCAAACAGUGAUUUUUAGUAAGGCAGAGCCUAAGCAUGUGUGAAAGGAGUCCACACAGCAGAGAUGAUGCAAUGAUCUCAGGAACAUUAGAAACUGAAACAAAGUUUAGCUCUGCAUGUUAAUGAAAAAUAUCUAUACAGGUUUCUAGACAAACCAGUUCAGAAGAAAUCAAAAAACAUCAACGUAUCGCAGUGCAGACUUUUGUUAUCCAGUUACAUGAAGUACUCAUCAUAAUUAAAGCAUUUUGGUUACUUCUCUCCUAUGGAUUUUUUCUAAGUUUAACCCAAACUCUUUUUAGCUUUACAGUAAUUUUCCUAGGAGUAAUGACUAAAUUUCCAUAGCAGAAAUUUGGAAGCUUAGAAGUAUGCAACCUCAGCCUCGCUCCCUCCAUCAUAGCGAAGAUUUUUGCCUCGAAACCUACUUUCCCCAGUUCACAUUUUUAAAGCAUGACACAUGAUCAAUAACAUGAAAGUGCAGAAAACUUUCUCAUAUGAUAAUUCUAUUGAUUUUCAGAUGAAAUAAUUAAACUAGCUGUUAAGACCAAGUUCAUCAAUACCAUCUGGCUGCUUUGUCCCCCCCUCUUGAGUAAGAGGAAUCAGUCAGGGUCUCCUGGCUUCCAUAACCAGUCGUAGCUACUGUGCUGCUCUGAUACGAUACCAAAUAGCCAUUUUACAGCUGAUUGUUCUCACCUUCCUUUUAUAACUACCUGCACGCACCCCCCCGGCUCCAAAUUAUGCCCUCCUCAUGAAUCUUCUACAUUGCACUGUACAUUCUCAGAAACCUCCAUCUCCAUUCUGAUCUGUGUGCUCCUUUCUACACUAUCAGGUUGCUUUGUGAAACGUCAAAUACAGUUUUGGAAGACAUAUUGUAUUUUUCACAGAUAACAGAGAUUGAGUGGCAAAUUGUGCUAAAUGCCAAAUGUUUCCAUUUUGAUGACAGAAGCAUAUCUACAAAAUAACACCUGUGCUCAGACUGUACUUUAACAUUGGGACUUUACUACCAACCAGUUCUCUGCAAAGCAGAGCAGGUCACUGGUGGAGUAUGAAAUGGGAAAGUCAGAAAGAGCCUCCGAGGCUUUCUCUGAAAGCCAAGCAGCUUCUUCAUAGGGAUGGCUGGCUGAAUUGAAAUGUUCAUCUCAUUCUCUGAUUCCCUUAAGAACUGUGGCUUAGUUCAAAAAAAAUCCCUCCCUAACAUGUCUUGCUUAUACCUGAGUUUUUGCUGAAUCAAGAAGUCUAAGAAAAUGUGCCUUAAGGUUACGCAUAUUCAAGCUCGUACGAGCCAGUGAAAGAAGUGGAUCCUGCAGUGAGGAUCUGGAAAUGGAUUCACUCUCAUCCAGCAGAUGACAACUUGUGCUGCCACUGAGCUGCUCCUGCACCCAAGUGGUUGGAGCGAGGAAUCUCUUCAAGGCAAGAGAUCGGGCCGGAUACGACUGGAGAUUAGGGAUGUACGUCAUUGUUACGCGCAGUCGGAGAAGCGAUUCUUUGUACUGGUUUCCUGAUGAGCGAUGUGUAAAACAUUAAUAGAUUUGGUUGUAUUCAAGGGACACAGUGGUAUGUGUGUACACACCAGCUGAUACUCUGAUUAUCUACCUCUGCAACAACUGAGAGAAAGACCUCAAAAACUUAGGCAGGUA